CAGCUGAACUAUCCUGAUUUAUACCUGAUGAUCUGCAUCUCUGCUGGUUUUGGUGUUUUAUUGAGAAUUGUAGUGUCUGGACUGCUACUCUGUGGUAGCUUGUCUAGCAAUUCAGCAACAAAGGUGUUCCCACCAGCAGCAGUCUAAACUGAAGAGAUAGGGAAAGUAUUUCUGAUCGUUUUUAACCUUUGGCUCCUAAUUGAUGCAGAAGUUUCUCAUUUUUUUUCUAUGGGACAGCUCAGCAGAGAGGUUUAAGCACUGUCAGGAAACCUCAGCCUCUCUCUGCUAUGAGUGGUGUCUGCUGAUUUUCUGUGUAAGGUCAGAUUGCUUCAGAACACCACCCAACUAAAUCUUGCAGAGAUUUCGGAAACAUCAGAGUUUCAUGAUGGUGUUUCCAUGUAUGCUGAAAACCCCCACUCCCAGCAGUGGAGAUCAAGGCAAGACAUUUGGCAGCUUUUAGAGAGCAGUUCAGCUGUUUGAACAUACAUGUUUCCUUCAGGAUUCAUCGCUUCACUCUUCACCCUUUAUUGACUGAAUUGUUUCAAUCUUAGACUGAAAUGGGAUCUAAAACACCCACGUGUUGGCACCAACACCAUAGACAUUUGGAAUUAGGAGAGCGGAGUCCUAGAUUUGUGACUAUUUUAAAUAUAGUUGUCUGCAUUUGGUGUCACUAUCCUGGCUAGGUUAGGGGCUUUUAAUUUUAGUGUUUUUGUAUUUUAAAUCUGUGUCUGCCAACUCCUGGCACAUCUCCUAGUUUUGCCUGCAAUUCAGACAAAUGCAUUUGAACCACAGUAUAUUUGCAGUCCCGAGACUGACUUGCAGAAUAAAGCCCCAAACACAGAAGAAAAUCUGAUCUCU
rnacentral:lncRNA from 1 species